GAUGAAGAACGUAGCGAAAUGCGAUAAGUAAUGUGAAUUGGAGAAUUCAGUGAAUCAUCGAAUCUUUGAACGCACAUUGCGCCCGCCAGUAUUCUGGCGGGCAUGCCUGUUCGAGCGUCAUUUCAACCAUCAAGCCCCCGGCUUGUGUUGGGGACCUGCGGCUGCCGCAGGCCCUGAAAACCAGUGGCGGGCUCGCUAGUCACUCCGAGCGUAGUAAUACAUCUCGCUCAGGGCGUGCUGCGGGUUCCGGCCGUUAAAAAGCCUUAUUUACCCAAGGUUGACCUCGGAUCAGGUAGGAAGACCCGCUGAACUUAAGCAUAUCAAUAAGCGGAGGA
rnacentral:misc_RNA from 1 species